rnacentral:rRNA from 1 species
UACGAGUGCCUCAAGCGUUAUCCGGAAUCAUUGGGCGUAAAGGAUGUGUAGGUGGUAGUGUUAGUCUCUUGUUAAAUUCUUCGGCUUAACCGGGGGCAUGCAAGGGAAACGGCACAACUAGAGGAUGCGAGGGGUCUGCGGAACUCAUAGUGUAGCGGUAAAAUGCGUUGAUAUUAUGGGGAACACCAAAAGCGAAGGCAGCAGACUGGAGCACUCCUGACACUGAAACAUGAAAGCGUGGGUCGCGAAUGGG